rnacentral:misc_RNA from 1 species
GAUGAAGAACGUAGUGAAAUGCGAUAAGUAAUGUGAAUUGCAGAAUUCAGUGAAUCAUCGAAUCUUUGAACGCACAUUGCGCCCGCCAGUAUUCUGGCGGGCAUGCCUGUUCGAGCGUCAUUUCAACCAUCAAGCCCCAGGCUUGUGUUGGAGACCUGCGGCUGCCGCAGGCCCUGAAAACCAGUGGCGGGCUCGCUGUCACACCGGGCGUAGUAGAUUUUAUCUCGCUCAGGGCGUGCUGCGGGUUCCGGCCGUUAAAAAGCCUUUUUUACCCAAGGUUGACCUCGGAUCAGGUAGGAAGACCCGCUGAACUUAAGCAUAUCAAUAAGCGGAGGA